CUUUGGGCGGCAAGGCCUGACUGCCUUGCGACGCCGCGUGGGUGAUGAAGGCCUUCGGGUUGUGAACCCGCUUUCGGCGGGGAGGAAGGGGUUGGGAGCAUAGGGUUGGGGUGUGACGGUUCCCUCCCAAGAAGCCCCGGCUUCAUCCGUGCCCAGCGCGCGGUAAUCA
rnacentral:rRNA from 1 species